rnacentral:rRNA from 1 species
AACGAACGCUGGCGGCAGGCCUAACACAUGCAAGUCGAGCGCCCCGCAAGGGGAGCGGCGGACGGGUGAGUAACACGUGGGAAUUUUCCUCAAGGUACGGAACAACUCAGGGAAACUUGGGCUAAUACCGUAUGAUGCAGAGAUGCCAAAGAUUUAUCGCCUUGGGAUAAGCCCGCGUCAGAUUAGGUAGUUGGUGGGGUAAUGGCCUACCAAGCCUGUGAUCUGUAGCUGGUCUGAGAGGACGAUCAGCCACAUUGGGACCGAGACACGGCCCAAACUCCUACGGGAGGCAGCAGUGGGGAAUCUUGCGCAAUGGACGAAAGUCUGACGCAGCCAUGCCGCGUGAAUGAUGAAGGUCUUAGGAUUGUAAAGUUCUUUAGCCUGUGACGAUGAUGACGGUAACAGGAGAAUAAGCCCCGGCUAACUUCGUG